AUUGUAGGGAAUCUUCUUACUACCUGGCCUCAGAUAUUCACUGGUGAGACAAUAAUCUCUAAGAUAUGAGAUACAAGGAGGUGAAGGCAAAGGGUUUGAAAUACUAAUGGGCGCCACCCAACACAAACAACCUUCAAACAUCUGGUGAAUACAGGAUCAUCUGACUCCAUCCAUCUUCAUCCCUAUCAUCCUCUUCUGUCACACCAACCCUCUCUGGCUGCACCAGAGAAACCAGUCACAGCAGAUUUCCUGUUGAGGAAUUCCACUUUUCUUCCAUUCAAAACUCUGAUGGAUUAAAAAUGAUUCUGCUUCUGAGUUUCUGGAUUGUCACAGGUCUCAUGGCAGAGGACCCAACAACGACAUAUUAUCAACUGAAAAACAGCUCAGUGUGUCUGAAUGUCAGGAAACCGCCACCAUACAAAAGUGGUCAAUGGAAAUUUAACACCAUAUUUAUUGCUGAUGAUACAGAAAUCAAUCCAAAUUACACAGACAGAGUGGUUUAUAGUGCUGGGAACCUCUCCUUGUGUAUUAAUAACCUGGCUGAUACAGACACUGGGAUAUACGAAGUCUCAUACCGCCAAAACUUUAUUACAAUGUCAGAGAAACAUCAAGUCAUUGUUCAAGGUGAGUUAUAAUGAGAACUUUGUCUUUAGCCUGUGCAUGAAUCUAUUUUACAUAUUAUAUUUUUCUGGAUUUGGUAGCAUUUACCUUACAUUCAGCUUUUACAUUUCCUUGGCUGAAGGGUUGUUGUCUUUAACCACAGCAUCAUAUAGCCUACAAUUUUAUAAUCACUUAGUUCAUUGUCAGUUCUCUUUUUGCAUUAAAUCAUUAAUUUAUCUGUUUGGCUCAAUGUUACAGAAAUGGUUCCCAGACCUGUCAUUAUAAUGUCAAAGCUUGGCUCCAAACAGUCUGCUGGACUCUGCAGUAUCACAGUAAACUGCUCCAUCCAGGAUUAUUCGCUUUGGUCUGUUUGUGAUGAAGACGGCUGCAAAACAUCCCAGAAAUCAUUCAGUGAGGUCAACAUCACCAUCUUCACUGAGAACAGAGCUGUGGUCUGCAGAGGCAACAACCAUGUUAGCACAAGUAAAGCUUCUGAAAACUUAAUGUGUUUCAAAUCUACUAAAGAUGAAGAGAAAUCACAACAACUCAUACUAAAAGGAAUACUUAUUCCUGUUUCUGUAUUAAUUAUCCUCGGAGCAUUUUCUUUCUUUUUAGUUAAAACAAAAUACAAAUCCUACCAGGUAAGAUGUAUUUGGUAACAGAUAUUUAUCAUAUAACCUGCUCAUUUCUAGAAUUAGGAAGGUUACUUCUGGUACAUGGUGUGAUAAUAUGACUGAAUACAAAUUUUACUUCAUUAUUUCCAUGCACAAGCAUCUAAUGUUCAGGUCAUACGAACACUGCCAUU